rnacentral:rRNA from 1 species
GAUGAACGCUGGCGGUGUGCCUAAUACAUGCAAGUCGAACGAAACUUCUUUAUCACCGAGUGCUUGCACUCACCGAUAAAGAGUUGAGUGGCGAACGGGUCAGUAACACGUGGGCAACCUGCCCAAAAGAGGGGGAUAACACUUGGAAACAGGUGCUAAUACCGCAUAACCAUAGUUACCGCAUGGUAACUAUGUAAAAGGUGGCUAUACUACCGCUUUUGGAUGGGCCCGCGGCGCAUUAGCUAGUUGGUAGGGUAAAGGCUUACCAAGGCAAUGAUGCGUAGCCGAAUUGAGAGGUUGAUCGGCCACAUUGGGACUGAGACACGGCCCAAACUCCUACGGGAGGCAGCAGUAGGGAAUCUUCCACAAUGGGCGAAAGCCUGAUGGAGCAACGCCGCGUGGGUGAAGAAGGUCUUCGGAUCGUAAAACCCUGUUGUUAGAGAAGAAAGUGCGUGAGAGUAACUGUUCACGUUUCGACGGUAUCUAACCAGAAAGCCACGGCUAACUACGUG